AUUGAACGCUGGCGGCGUGCUUAACACAUGCAAGUCGAACGGUAACAGGUGUAGCACUACAUGCUGACGAGUGGCGGACGGGUGAGGAAUGCUUGGGAAUCUGCCUGUUAGUGGGGGACAACCCGGGGAAACUCGGGCUAAUACCGCAUACGCUCUACGGAGGAAAGCGGGGGACCGUAAGGCCUCGCGCUAACAGAUGAGCCCAAGUCGGAUUAGCUAGUUGGUGGGGUAAAAGCCUACCAAGGCGACGAUCCGUAGCUGGUCUGAGAGGACGAUCAGCCACACUGGGACUGAGACACGGCCCAGACUCCUACGGGAGGCAGCAGUGGGGAAUAUUGGACAAUGGGGGCAACCCUGAUCCAGCAAUGCCGCGUGUGUGAAGAAGGCCUGCGGGUUGUAAAGCACUUUUGGCAGGGAUGAAAAGCACUGGAUUAAUAACCCAGUGUGUUGACCUAACCUGCAGAAGAAGCACCGGCUAACUCUGUG
rnacentral:rRNA from 1 species